rnacentral:rRNA from 1 species
CAAAUUGAUCGUCAAAUUUGGGUAUAGGGGAAAAAGAUUAAUCGAACCAUUAGUAGCUGGUUCCUGCAGAAGUUUCCCUGAGGAUAGCAGAGAUUCGUAUCAGAUUUAUGUGGUAAAGCGAAUGAUUAGAGGCCUUGGGGUUGAAACAACCUUAACUUAUUCUCAUUCUUAAAAUAGUAAGACCGGGCUGUUUUUUGGUUGGACCGCUUGUGAUUGAGAGUUUCUAGUGGGCCAUUUUUGGUAAGCAGAACUGGCGAUGCGGGAUGAACCGAACGCGAGGUUAAGGUGCCGGAAUACACGUUCAUCAGACACCACAAAAGGUGUUAUUCAUUUAGACAGCAGGACGGUGGCCAUGGAAGUCGGAAUCCGUUAAGGAGUGUGUAACAAUUCACCUGCCGAUGAACUAGCCCUGAAAAUGGAUGGCGGUUCAAGCGUGUUACCCAAUACUUUCUUCUUUUUAAAAAAAGGGGUUUU